AGAACUUUGAGGAUGCAGAUGGCGAGAGUCAGGAGGACUCUGAUGACAGCAUGGGCUGAUAGCAGACAUCUACUGAGGGAUGUCUAUAGACAGGAUUUAGUUUUUUUUCUCUGUUGCUUUGAUUUUUUUUUUUUAUUUUACUUUGCUUCUUCUUAAAUUCAUAGAAUAGGUUGAAUUUUUACUUUGCUGUGUACUCUUGGCUUUAACACUUGUUCUGAAAAUGUUUGACUGACUGAGAUGCAUGAUGAAUCUAAU
rnacentral:lncRNA from 1 species